GUGUCCUGCCAGUUGUCAUAUGCUUGUCUCAAAGAUUAAGCCAUGCAUGUCUGAGUACAGACUGAUCUAAAGUGAAACCGCAAAUGGCUCAUUAAAUCAGUCGUAAUUCCUUGGAUAGUGACAAAGCUUCCUUGGAUAACUGUGGAAAAUCCAGAGCUAAUACAUGCAACUGAGCUGCGACCUCGACGCGAGUCGAGGGAGGAGCGCAUUUAUUAGAUUCAAAAUCGACCGUGGUACUCCUUCGGGAUGCCACGCUUGUCAAAUUUGAUGACUCCGGAUAACUAAGCCGAGCGCUACGGUCUUUGCACCGGCGCCGUAUCUUUCAAGUGUCUGCCUUAUCAGCUUUCGAUUGUAGGUUAAACGCCUACAAUGGCUGUAACGGGUAACGGGGAAUCAGGGUUCGAUUCCGGAGAGGGAGCCUGAGAAACGGCUACCACAUCUAAGGAAGGCAGCAGGCACGCAAAUUACCCACUCCCAGCUCGGGGAGGUAGUGACGAAAAAUAACGAUGUGAGACUCUUCCGAGGCCUCACAAUCGGAAUGAGUUCAUUCUAAAUACUUGGACGAGGAUCCAAUGGAGGGCAAGUCUGGUGCCAGCAGCCGCGGUAAUUCCAGCUCCAUGAGCAUAUACGAAUACUGCUUCGGUUAAAAAGCUCGUAGUUGGAUCUCUUAGAUCCAACUUGUGCGUCGGGUGGCUCGAUAGGCGCCCUUGCGUCUCGCUUAACGAGGUCUUUGUAUAACCAUGCGUUGUUCCGCUCGUCCUUCGGGUCGUGUGGGCGCGUAUGCGUGGCAGGACUGAGUUUCGUCUUGUCGCUCGUGGUGGCCGUCGGGUAUAGCUCGUGUGCUAGUGGCAAAUUACGAACCGUCGGCUCGCUCGGAGUGCUCUUUACCGAGUGUUCCAGGGCGGCUGACACGUUCACUUUGAAAAAAUUAGAGUGCUCAAAGCAGGCUCAAUUGUAGCCUGAAUGUUGUUGCAUGGAAUGAAGGAAGAUGACCUCGAUUCUGUCGUUUUGGUCGAUUUUGUGGAGUCGAGGUAAUGAUUAAAAGGAACAGACGGUGGCAUUAGUAUUGCGACGCUAGAGGUGAAAUUCUUGGACCGUCGCAAGACUGACUACUGCGAAAGCAUUUGCCGAGAAUGUAUCCAUUAAUCAAGAACGAAAGUUAGAGGAUCGAAGGCGAUCAGAUACCGCCCUAGUUCUAACCCUAAACUAUGCUAACUAGCGAUCCGUCGAAGUCAUUCCCACGACUCGACGGGAAGCCCCAGGGAAACCAAAGUCUUUGAGUUCCGGGGGAAGUAUGGUUGCAAAGCUGAAACUUAAAGGAAUUGACGGAAGGGCACCACCAGGAGUGGAGCCUGCGGCUUAAUUUGACUCAACACGGGAAACCUCACCAGGCCCGGACAUUAUAAGGAUUGACAGAUUAAGAGCUCUUUCUCGAUUUAAUGGGUGGUGGUGCAUGGCCGUUCUUAGUUGGUGGAGUGAUCUGUCUGGUUGAUUCCGAUAACGAACGAGACUCUACCCUGCUAAAUAGUCGACGGAUCGUAACCCUUGAUGGGCGAGCCGAGAUGGCGCGUGCUUCUGAGGGACUUUGUUCAUUCACGAUCCUUCGGAUUCGGUUUGUCAAAGGCUCCUUGCUGUGCGUCGUUGUUAGAGUGAGCGUUACUGGGGGCGUCCGUCGCAAUAUAUCUUCUUAGAGGGAUCAGUGGCGUCUAGUCACACGAGAUAGAGCAAUAACAGGUCUGUGAUGCCCUUAGAUGUUCUGGGCCGCACGCGCGCUACAAUGUAGGGCUCAACGUGCUUUCCCUCUCCGAAAGGAGCGGGUAACCCGUGGAAACCCCUACCCGAUUGGGAUUGGGGAUUGCAAAUGUUUCCCAUAAACGAGGAAUUCCCAGUAAGCGCGAAUCAUAAAUUCGCGCUGAUUACGUCCCUGCCCUUUGUACACACCGCCCGUCGCUACUACCGAUUGAAUGAUUCAGUGAGGGCAUCGGACUGGCGCCUUCGGUGGUGAAAUAUACACCUUAGGCUGACGGAAAGAUGUCCAAACUCGAUCAUUUAGAGGAAGUAAAAGUCGUAACAAGGUUUCCGUAGGUGAACCUG
rnacentral:rRNA from 1 species